UACGUAGGGGGCGAGCGUUGUCCGGAUUUAUUGGGCGUAAAGAGCGUGUAGGCGGCCAGGUAGGUCUGCUGUGAAAACUCGAGGCUCAACCUCGAGACGUCGGCGGAAACCAUCUGGCUAGAGUCCGGAAGAGGAGAGUGGAAUUCCUGGUGUAGCGGUGAAAUGCGCAGAUAUCAGGAAGAACACCCGUGGCGAAGGCGGCUCUCUGGGCCGUAACUGACGCUGAGGAGCGAAAGCGUGGGGAGCGAACAGG
rnacentral:rRNA from 1 species